AGUAGCGGCGAGCGAAACCGGAUUAGCCCUUAAGCUAGUUUUGCGUUAGGUGAAAGUUCUGGAAAGUUCUGCGAUACAGGGUGAUAGCCCCGUAACCGACAACGCAUUAUCAGUGAAAACGAGUAGGACGGGACACGUGAUAUCCUGUUUGAAUAUGGGGGGACCAUCCUCCAAGGCUAAAUACUCCUGACUGACCGAUAGUGAACCAGUACCGUGAGGGAAAGGCGAAAAGAACCCCUGUGAGGGGAGUGAAAUAGAACCUGAAACCGUGUACGUACAAGCAGUAGGAGCCCACUUGUUGGGUGACUGCGUACCUUUUGUAUAAUGGGUCAGCGACUUAAUUUUAGUAGCAAGGUUAACCGGUUUAGGGGAGCCGUAGGGAAACCGAGUCUUAACUGGGCGAAAUAGUUGCUAGGAUUAGACCCGAAACCGAGUGAUCUAGCCAUGGGCAGGUUGAAGGUGAGGUAACACUUACUGGAGGACCGAACCGACUAAUGUUGAAAAAUUAGCGGAUGACUUGUGGCUAGGGGUGAAAGGCCAAUCAAACUCGGAGAUAGCUGGUUCUCCCCGAAAGCUAUUUAGGUAGCGCCUCGGACGAAUACUACUGGGGGUAGAGCACUGUUAAGGCUAGGGGGUCAUCCCGACUUACCAACCCUUUGCAAACUCCGAAUACCAGUAAGUACUAU
rnacentral:rRNA from 1 species